AUGUCCCCGCCUGGGGCGCUAUCCGGUGCUGCAAUGUCCCCGCCUGGGGCGCUAUCCGGUGCUGCAAUGUCCCCGGCUGGGGCGCUAUCUGGUGCUGCAAUGUCCCCGGCUGGGGCGCUAUCCGGUGCUGCAAUGUUCCACGCAGGGACGGGUUGGGGUGCUGUCGGCUGCUACUCUGCGCUGCAAGAAGCGGGGGUGUCGGGGCGCUAUCGGGCUGCCCUGCCAGCAGGGGCAGAGGUGGCGGCUGCCUGUGGUCUCCAAGAAAGGAGGCUCCUCCUCUCCCUAGACUCCAGACUCCAGAGGGCGACCUCCUCCUGCUCCUGCUCCGGUGCCGCGAGUGCGCAACGUUUCCACGGGAAUCCUGAGCACGGCAGGGCCCCCACACCCGCCGCGGUUCCCAGGCCUGCGUCCUCUCUGUCUGUGUUGCAGAGACCGCCUGGGACCCCUGGGAACGCCAGACACGGAGUAGCGGACACCACGCGGGGACAGGGCCCUGUGCGUGGAGGCGUCAGGAUCGGGAACAGCACUUGGGUGGGAGGGUUGGCUGGGUCUCAGUUCCUGCUGGUUUGGCUCCCUACGGAGUGCAAGCCCUGGUGGGCCCAGCGGUUCCUGUGGAUUGGGGAGCCGGGCAAUGUGGUGUUUCCAGUCCCCACUCCAGGCCCCAGUUCCUGGCCAGCUUGGGCCAAAAGGAGAGGCUGGACUUUGGUGGGUGGCGCUAGUGGUGGCAGCAGCAGCAGCAGCAGCAAGGCCGCAGGCCGGGAAUGGGGAGUAGGAGCCCUGCGGGUCCUGCCUGCGGGUCCUGCCCUGCCAGGCCUUGGAUGGAUAGGAUGCUUCGGGUGGGUAGGAAGCUUUGGGUGCUGUAUCACAGUCUCGGUGGAAGUGGUGGAGGAACAGCCAGGGCAAGAAAGAGGAGUCCUCCUUCUCCUGCAGUCUCUGCAGGGCGCCCUCCUCCUGCUGGUGCUUCAGCCAGUGCCUGGAAGGGACUCCAAGGAGGAAGCCACACAGCUGAGCGCUCCCUCCAGGACCACCUCCCUGCCCCCUCCACCCAGUGUGAGCCGCUAGCCUUGGAGAUGCUGUAGCAAGCCUGAGAGUACAAUACGUGCCUGUUCAGCCUGGUGCAGCACAGCGCCCGGGCCCUACUCCACUACGGUGUCACCACAGAGCCCUGCUGGUGGGACGGCACCACCCGCUGACAGAGCAGAUGAGAACGGAGACAUGCUACUGCACCUGGCCAUCAUCCACAGGCCGACCAGUGUCAUGGAGCAGAUAGCCCACGUCAUCUACCACGCCAAGCACCUCGGCGUCGUCAGCCUCACCAACCACUUGCACCAGACGCCCCUGCACCUGGCGGUGAUCACUGGGCAGACAAGGGUGGUGAGGUUUCGACUGCAGGUGGGUGCAGACCCAGCACUGCUGAUCGGCGUGGAGACUCAGCCAUGCACCUGGCACUGCAGGCAGGCGCUAGUGCCUCAGAGUUGCUGUGUGCACUGCUUUGGAGUGGAGCUCCCGCUGUCCCCCAGCUGUUGCACAUGCCUGACUUCGAGGGACUGCAUCCAGCACAUCUGGCGGUCCGAGCCCGAAGUCCUGAGUGUCUGGAUCUGCUGGUGAACAGUGGGGCUGAAGUGGAGGUCACAGAGCAGCAGGGGGGCCGAACAGCCUUGCAUCUCGCCACAGAGAUGGAGGCGCUGGGGUUGGUCACCCAUCUGGUCACCAAGCUCCGGGCCAACGUGAACGAUCGCACCUUUGUGGGAAACACACCGCUGCACGUGGCAGCUGGACUGGGAUCCCCCACCCUCACCUUCCUCCUUCUGAAGGCUGGUGCUGAUAAUGCUGACAACAAGGGCCCCCUGUGCCCACUGCCCUCACCCCCUCCUCUGAGAGCAACUCGGACUCGGAGGGGCCUGAGAAGGACACCCGAAGCAGCUUCCAGGGCCACACGCCUCAGCCUCACCCACAGCACCAAGGUGAAGACCUUGCUGCUAAAUGCCGUUCAGAACACCAUGGAGCUGCCCCUGACCCCGCCCAGCCCUGCAGGCCCAGAUAGCUCACCAAAAUGUGCGGCUGGCUGUGUGUUCCUUACUGAUGUCCUGCGAGCCCUUAAGGUAUUCCAACAAUGA